rnacentral:tRNA from 1 species
GUUCCUAUAGCUUAAUUAAAGCAUAACACUGAAGAUGUUAAGAUAGGCCCUAGAAAGCCUUAGAGACA